rnacentral:rRNA from 1 species
UUUUGGGGAACGNGGUAGGCUUUAACAUGCAAGUCGUGCGAGAAAGUAUCUUCGGAUAUGAUUAGAGCGGCGGACGGGUGAGUAGACGCGUAGGAAUCUACCUAGUAGAAGGGGAUAGCCCGAGGAAACUCGGAUUAAUACCGUAUACCUCCUUCGGGAGAAAGAAGGCCUCUCUUUGAAGCUUUCGCUACUAGAUGAGCCUGCGUAAGAUUAGCUUGUUGGUGAGGUAAAGGCUCACCAAGGCGACGAUCUUUAGCGGGUCUGAGAGGACGAUCCGCCACAUUGGGACUGAGACACGGCCCAGACUCCUACGGGAGGCAGCAGUGGGGAAUAUUGGACAAUGGGCGCAAGCCUGAUCCAGCCAUACCGCGUGUGUGAAGAAGGCCUUAGGGUUGUAAAGCACU